UAACUGAAAAAAAAUGAAUAUAUAUUAAAAACUGGCAUUUCUUCAAUGUAGAAAUCCCACUAUAUAUCAACUAAGAGAUCUGGGUGUUUAACAGAAUUGUUAUCUAACAAACAGCUAACCAGAUGAUAGGCUGUAAUUUGACAGAUCUGGUGAGUACUUAUGUAGAGUUACCCUUGGUUUCAGAAAUCCUGGUUUGUUUGGGCAUCUGUAUCAUCCUCUCAGCUUCAGUAAAAUAAACCAAUGGGUUUCAGAGAUAUUGGAAAGGGGAAGAAGAAAAACAACCACAACACCUAGCCUAAAGGUUUGCAACAGAGUGGAACCUGCUGGAAAUGCUGAAAAGUGUUAUUAAACCAGAUGACAGAUGAAGUCUCUAACCUAAUCAUUUAA